rnacentral:rRNA from 1 species
AACGAACGCUGGCGGCAUGCCUAACACAUGCAAGUCGAACGAGACCUUCGGGUCUAGUGGCGCACGGGUGCGUAACGCGUGGGAACCUGCCCUUAGGUUCGGAAUAACUCCCCGAAAGGGGUGCUAAUACCGGAUAAUGUCUUCGGACCAAAGAUUUAUCGCCUUUGGAUGGGCCCGCGUUGGAUUAGCUAGUUGGUAGGGUAAAAGCCUACCAAGGCGACGAUCCAUAGCUUGGCUGAGAGGAUGAUCAGCCACACUGGGACUGAGACACGGCCCAGACUCCUACGGGAGGGAGCAGUGGGGAAUAUUGGACCAUGGGGGAAGGCAUGAUCCAGCAAUGCCGCGUGAGUGAUGAAGGCCUUAGGGUUGUAAAGCUCUUUUACCCGGGAUGAUAAUGACAGUACCGGGAGAAUAAGCUCCGGCUAACUCCGUG